GUUAAUGAAAGAGCUGCACAUUCAGUGAAACUGACUUCAGAUUCACAUUCAUACUUACCCAAAUUGUUUUGUUUCCUUGUGCUUCCCCCAAACAAAUCCAGGUAAAAUCCAGGAUGGCAAAAAGGAAGUGGAAGAUGUAUUCAGGGCCCAGGACUGUACCAAGUGUGAUAAAGUACAGAGGAUGGAUUGGCUGUUUUAAAGUUUCCAGAGUGGAAGAGAUGUCCUACCCCACACCCAGUAUGAGUAAAUGGGUUGACUGUACUUCUGCCUCACCCAGAAAACAUCACUGGUCAUAUUUUAAUAAUCCAAACCCAAACCUUUGAUUGGAUUCUGGCAUCCUUCUGCUUUCACUGCCUUCAGUCUUCACGUGAACGCACACGCAAAGCUGAACUCCCCAGGCUGAACGCUGGUCGAUGGUGGCAGCAGUUAACAGGUCUGCUGUGACAGCCGCCGAGGGGAAGCACCCACUAAUAGAGUCAGCUAAUUAUGGAGAUGGCACAUUUGUCAGAAAUGCGUCCCCCUCGCAACCCUGGCGCAACCCUCCCACCGUCCUCUGCAGAUGCCCUGUGUUUUCAGGCAGGAGGGAGGGGUGCAGACAGACACACGCACCAUGUUGUAAUUAGCUAGCAGGGAGUGCUCGGCGACCUGUGAGGGGAGUCGAAUGGCGGCCGCUGCUCACGGGUAUUGUUUUGGCUCCAGACACAACAGAAGCUCUGCUGAUGGGGUGUGUGUGUGUGCAAUAAAAUGGAAAGGUAGAGAGUGGGAAUGCAAGUACAAAGGUACAAUGAAAGGCUUUUCGCACCACUUUUCCGUGAUGUGGUUGUGCAACCUUGUCAGACUUCAGCAAUGUUUUGAUUGUAACGUCUGUACAGACCUUUCUAGAUUAGAGUCACUGCAUUUGUUUUAAUCACGAAAGAUCGCUUGUGUGUGGUUUUGUUUUAAAGUGUGACUGUUAAAAAGAACUAAAACAAAAUAUAGCCUUUUAUUGUGUAGACCCCCACAUGGGACCUCUGGGGGUCGCCAGCAGUGGGUAGCACCAGGAGGGUGGAGAU
ensembl:lncRNA